rnacentral:rRNA from 1 species
CAAUAGCGUAUAUUAAAGUUGUUGCAGUUAAAAAGCUCGUAGUUGGACCUCGGACCUGGACAGGCGGUCCGCCUCACGGCGAGUACUGUCUUGCUGGGUCUUUCCUCUUGGUGAUCUGUUGUUUCGGCAGCAGGGAACCAGGACCUUUACUUUGAAAAAAUUAGAGUGUUCAAAGCAGGCUCGACGCCGGAAUAUAUUAGCAUGGAAUAAUAAAAUAGGACGUGCGGUUCUAUUUUGUUGGUUUUUGGAAUCGCCGUAAUGAUUAAUAGGGACAGUCGGGGGCAUUAGUACUCACAUGCUAGAGGUGAAAUUCUUGGAUUUUGUGAAGACUAACUUCUGCGAAAGCAUUUGCCAAGGAUGUUUUCAUUAA